rnacentral:rRNA from 1 species
AAAACAACCAAACUUAAAGGAAUUGACGGGGACCCGCACAAGCGGUGGAGCAUGUGGUUUAAUUCGAAGCAACGCGAAGAACCUUACCAGGUCUUGACAUCCUCUGACAAUCCUAGAGAUAGGACUUUCCCCUUCGGGGGACAGAGUGACAGGUGGUGCAUGGUUGUCGUCAGCUCGUGUCGUGAGAUGUUGGGUUAAGUCCCGCAACGAGCGCAACCCUUAUUCUUAGUUGCCAGCAUUCAGUUGGGCACUCUAAGGAGACUGCCGGUGACAAACCGGAGGAAGGUGGGGAUGACGUCAAAUCAUCAUGCCCCUUAUGACCUGGGCUACACACGUGCUA